rnacentral:tRNA from 1 species
GGAGAGAUGGCUCAGUGGUUAAGAGCACUGGCUGCUCUUCCAGAGGACCUGGGUUCAAUUCCUAGUACCCUCCU